rnacentral:rRNA from 1 species
UACGUAGGUGGCAAGCGUUGUCCGGAAUUACUGGGUGUAAAGGGCGCGUAGGCGGGAAUGCAAGUCAGAUGUGAAAUCUCAAGGCUUAACCUUGAAACUGCAUCUGAAACUGUAUUUCUUGAGUGUCGGAGAGGAGAGCGGAAUUCCCCGUGUAGCGGUGAAAUGCGUAGAUAUGGGGAGGAACACCGGUGGCGAAGGCGGCUUUCUGGACGAUAACUGACGCUGAGGCGCGAAAGCGUGGGUAGCAAACAGG